UAUUAUCGUUAUUAUCGAUGGUGUGACGGAGAAGGAUAGGAUGUGCUAGCUAUUGGAUGCUAGUCUAAGCGUUUAGGGAGUUAGAAUAGGCAAAUCCGUUCUAACAAUUCUGAGGCGUGAUGGGGAAGGUUCUAAGGAACCGAAGUAUCUGAUUCCAUGCUUCCAAGAAAAGCAUCUAGAAAGAGAAAUAGUGCCCGUACCGCAAACCGACACAGGUAGGUGAGGAGAGAAUCCUAAGGCCGGCGGAAGAAUUGCAGUUA
rnacentral:rRNA from 1 species